rnacentral:misc_RNA from 1 species
UUAAGUUCAGCGGGUAGUCCUACCUGAUUUGAGAUCAAACAUUCAAAAGAGCUGUCCUCGCUGAGGAGAGACGUUUAUGAGCUCCAGCGAACCUCCAUUGCUGGAAGUUAAUUGGUGGAAGGCCACAAGCGUAGAUAGUUAUCACACCUGUGAUCCCACCAAACACUGGCAAACUGAUUCAUUUUAGGGGAGCUGACCGU